rnacentral:misc_RNA from 1 species
GAUGAAGAACGCAGCGAAUUGCGAUAAGUAAUGUGAAUUGCAGAUUUUCAGUGAAUCAUCGAAUCUUUGAACGCACCUUGCGCUCCUUGGUAUUCUGAGGAGCAUGCCUGUUUGAGUGUCAUUAAAUUCUCAACUACACUGACUUUGAAUUGGUGUGGCUUGGAUUUGGGGGGAAAAUUGUUGUGGGCUUUUUGUAUAGUCUGCUCCCCUGAAAUUGAUUAGCGGUACCUUUGUGGAACUGUCUACAGGUGUGAUAAUUAUCUACAUCUUAGACAUCUGCUGGAAUGCUGCUUUCUAAACCUUACUUGUAUUGACAAUCUUGACCUCAAAUCAGGUAGGACUACCCGCUGAACUUAAGCAUAUCAAUAAGCGGAGGA